rnacentral:rRNA from 1 species
UGGACCUCGGAUCAGGCCAGGCUACCCGCUGAAUUUAAGCAUAUCAAUAAGCGGAGGAAAAGAAACUAACUAGUAUUCCCCUAGUAACGGCGAGCGAAGCGGGAACAGCUCAAAUUUGAAAUCUCCGGUGCCUGCACCGGCGAAUUGUAGUCUAUAGGGCCAGUUUCGCCAGACGCGGUGUCCCCAAAGUCGUCCUGGAAAGGCGGGCCAGAGAGGGUGAGAGCCCCGUGUGCGGGGGCACUGCGGAAGGUAAGAUCUGUGCCCAAAGAGUCGGGUUGUUUGGGAUUGCAGCCCAAAAU